CAGUCGCCGCGGGAACACGUAGGUGGCAAGCGUUGUCCGGAAUUAUUGGGCGUAAAGGGCUCGCAGGCGGUUUCUUAAGUCUGGUGUGAAAGCCCCCGGCUCAACCGGGGAGGGUCAUUGGAAACUGGGAAACUUGAGUGCAAAAGAGGAGAGUGGAAUUCCACGUGUAGCGGUGAAAUGCGUAGAGAUGUGGAGGAACACCAGUGGCGAAGGCGACUCUCUGGUCUGUAACUGACGCUGAGGAGCGAAAGCGUGGGGAGCGAACAGGAUUAGAUACCCGUGUAGUCCCUGUCUCUUAUAC
rnacentral:rRNA from 1 species